AGCAGACGGAACUGAGGGGACAGAAACUAUCUUUCCUGAUGAUGGGGCCCUGCUUUCACUGAAGUCGGGCAUCGUGCAUGGAGACCCCCAGGAAGUAGAAGCAUGUCUGGCUACUUGUAUCAUCUUGGGCAAACUACCUGUGUAGGACUUACUCAUUUCAGAAAUGUGGGUAAUUGUGCCUGCAUGACAGAGCUGUUUGAUCAGAAACGGAAGUACCAUAAUCAUUAGCGCGUAGGCUCUGGAUGCGGACCAUGUGGUUUAGAGCCAUGACUCCACUAUUUCCCCGCUGUGUGACCUUGUUGGGAUUUUGGUUUCUAGUAACACGAACUCAAGAGGAAGGAUCUGCCAGGAGAUGAGAGUAUGCAGAGUACACAGGUAAAAUUAUGAAGGAGAUAAAUUAAGACUAUAAGUUGAUAAUUUGUGACCAAGCCUGUAUCCUUAGCAUACAAUUUCCUAGUCUUACAGGUUGAAUAAUAGAUUUAAUAUUGAUAAAUUUGCAUACAUUUAAACAUGCUAAAUUUAUUUUUAAGUCCCUGAACACUGUUAUGAUUGUGGUUUAUAUUUAAUAUCACAAGAAUCAUGCAGGAACUUUAAAGUGAGAAUAAUUACUUCUGACUUGUUUAAAAGUUGUAUUUCUCAGAAUCAUACUGAUAAUUCAAUAAAAAAAAUCACUAAAGCAGAAGAAAAUCUGACUUGUUAUAUA